rnacentral:rRNA from 1 species
GAUCAUGGCUCAGGACGAACGCUGGCGGCGUGCCUAACACAUGCAAGUCGAACGGAGAUAAAGAUUUCGGUUUUUAUCUUAGUGGCGCACGGGUGAGUAACACGUGAAUAACCUGACCCAAAGAGGGGGAUAACACCUGGAAACAGGUGCUAAUACCGCAUAAGACCACAAUGUCGCAUGACGAAGGGGUCAAAGAAAAUCGCUUUGGGAGGGGUUCGCGUCCCAUUAGGUAGUAGGCGGGGUAAUAGCCCACCUAGCCGACGA